ensembl:lncRNA
UAGUGGUAGUGACUGGUUAUAGUUAUAGUAGUGGUAGUGUCUACAGUAGUAAUGGUAGUGACUGGUUAUAGUAGUGGUAGUGACUGGUUAUAGUUAUAGUGGUGGUAGUGUCUGCAGUAGUAAUGGUAGUGACUGGUUAUAGUUAUAGUAGUGGUAGUGACUGGUUAUAGUUAUAGUAGUGGUAGUGUCUACAGUAGUAAUGGUGGGGACUGGUUAUAGUUAUAGUAGUGGUAGUGACUGGUUAUAGUAGUGGUAGUGACUGGUUAUAGUAGUGGUAGUGACUGGUUAUAGUUAUAGUAGUGGUAGUGACUGGUUAUAGUAGUGGUAGUGACUGGUUAUAGUUAUAGUAGUGGUGGUGACUGGAUGUAGUU